rnacentral:rRNA from 1 species
GUCCUCUUGAAAUUAAUUUGAGGUCUAGCCUGCCCACUGAAAUUAUUUAAAUGGCCGCAGUAAUUUGACUGUGCAAAGGUAGCAUAAUCAUUAGUUUUUUAAUUAAAAGCUUGUAUGAAUGGUUGGACAAAGUAAAAUCUGUCUCUAUUUAAUUUAUAAUAGAAUUUAAUUUUUAAGUUAAAAAGCUUAAAUUUUUAUAAAAGACGAGAAGACCCUAUAGAUCUUUAUUUAAAUUUAUAUAAUUUUAAUUUAGAAUUUUUUAUUAAUUAUAUUUUUUUUUAAAUUUUAUUGGGGUAAUAAAAAGAUUAAAAAAAUUCUUUUUUUAAUAUACAUUGAUUUAUGAAUAAAUGAUCCAAUAUUUUUGAUUAAAAGAUUAAGUUACCUUAGGGAUAACAGCGUAAUUUUUUUAGAGAGUUCAUAUCGAUAAAAAAGUUUGCGA